rnacentral:rRNA from 1 species
GAUGAACGCUAGCGGCAGGCUUAAUACAUGCAAGUCGAGGGGCAGCACGGUGUAGCAAUACACUGAUGGCGACCGGCAAACGGGUGCGGAACACGUACACAACCUCCCUUCAAGCGGGGCAUAGCCCAGAGAAAUUUGGAUUAAUACCCCAUAGAAUAUUGGAAAGGCAUCUUUUUGAUAUUAAAGAUUUAUCACUUGAAGAUGGGUGUGCGGCUGAUUAGGUAGUUGGCGGGGUAACGGCCCACCAAGCCUUCGAUCAGUAACUGGUGUGAGAGCACGACCAGUCACACGGGCACUGAGACACGGGCCCGACUCCUACGGGAGGCAGCAGUAAGGAAUAUUGGUCAAUGGACGAAAGUCUGAACCAGCCAUGCCGCGUGGAGGAUGAAGGUCCUCUGGAUUGUAAACUUCUUUUAUAUGGGACGAAAAAGGGGCUUUCUAGCUCAACUGACGGUACCAUAUGAAUAAGCACCGGCUAACUCCGUGCCAGCCGCCGCGGUAAAAC